CAAACCGGCACCCACCAAUUGUAAAUAAAACCGCCAAUUUUCACAAUAUAAAUUUUCUUUAAAAGUAAAAUACGAUGUUUAAAAUAAGUUGUUUUGAGAUAUGGCGACAAGAGAAAGAAAUGCCACGCAUUAUAACUCUUUGUAAAAAAUUAGAUGAUAUUUUAGAAGGUGGCCUUGCAGCUGGUUUGAUUAAUGAAUUUUGCGGUGGACCAGGUUGUGGAAAAACACAAAUGUGUUUGCAGCUUUGUAUCAAUGUGCAAUUUCCACGAAGGGUGGGUGGUCUUCAGGGCCAAGCUGUGUAUUUGGAUACAAAUCAAGAUUUCAGUCCUAAUCGUUUGCGAGAAAUUGCGUACUGUGCCGAAAAACGCUUCAUUCGUGCCUUACCCAGAACUGGGGUUGACUUAGGCACGCAAUAUCCUUUUACAGUUAAUUCAAUACUGGCAGGAGUAACUUAUAUGUACUGCAAAAAUCAUAUAGUAUUACAAACAGCAGUCGAGAGUCUACGUGAAAUGCUAAUUAAUAAUAAUGAGAUAAAGCUGAUCAUCAUUGAUUCGUUCUCCUUCCCUUUGCGCUUAAUUGAAGAUGUGGCAGAACGUACUGGAGUAGUUUAUAAUUUAUUAUCUCAGCUACAGCAGUUAGCGACAGAAUAUAAAGUAGUAGUGGUUAUAACAAAUGAGUUAACAACGCGUGUUACUGGCAAUGAUUGGAACAUAUUUCCAGCAUUAGGCGACAGCCACGGUCAUAAAAUUAAUCAGCGCAUCAUUCUUAGUAAAUGUAUUCAAGAAAAUUGUUUCGUUGCAUUGAUAGAAAAGUCGAAUAUAGUACCAAAAGUAGCUCUACCUUUUGUGAUUAAACAAAAUGGAAUUCGUGAUGUAUCAUAAACAGCAAACAAUUUUUAACUCUAGCUAGCUAUAAUCUAUUAUUUUUGCAAAGUGCGUGAUUUAUUACAUUUUUAAGUAACUAAAUAAACUAAGAAACCAAACAAAAUGAGCUCCGCUGAAUAUUAUCCAUUCAAG
rnacentral:misc_RNA from 1 species